AACGCGAAGAACCUUACCAGGGCUUGACAUCCCUCUGACCGGCUUGAUAACGAUAGCCUUUCUUCGGACAGAGGUGACAGGUGGUGCAUGGUUGUCGUCAGCUCGUGUCGUGAGAUGUUGGGUUAAGUCCCGCAACGAGCGCAACCCUUGUCUUUAGUUGCCAUCAUUCAGUUGGGCACUCUAGCGAGACUGCCGGUAAUAAACCGGAGGAAGGUGGGGAUGACGUCAAAUCAUCAUGCCCCUUACGACCUGGGCUACACACGUGCUACAAUGGUUGGUACAACGAGUCGCAAGUCGGUGACGGCAAGCAAAUCUCUUAAAGCCAAUCUCAGUUCGGAUUGUAGGCUGCAACUCGCCUACAUGGAGUCGGAAUCGCUAGUAAUCGCGGAUCAGCACGCCGCGGUGAAUACGUUCCCGGGUCUUGUACACACGC
rnacentral:rRNA from 1 species